GUUUUUUCAUUUGUUAAACAAAUGUAUCAGACAAAAUAAAAUUCAUAAGGUUUGUUACAAGGACCAACACGAUAAAUCAAUGUUGACCCCCUUCGGCCGAUCCGUUGAAAACAAAAGCUCCCAACCGCAAUCGACCAGAGACAGAUACGGUGCACACAAGGUUGAUGGUUUAGAAACCAACUUUUUUAAUGAUCCAACCGCAGGUUCACCUACGGUUA
rnacentral:misc_RNA from 1 species